UAUAAGGCAUUUUUCGCAAUUAGUGAUUGA
rnacentral:piRNA from 1 species